CCUACGGGUGGCUGCAGUCGAGGAUCUUUGGCAAUGGGCGCAAGCCUGACCAAGCGACGCCGCGUGUGCGAUGAAGGCCUUCGGGUUGUAAAGCACUGUCGAGGGGAACAACUAUCCCUGGAGGAAGCACGGGCUAAGUUCGUGCCAGCAGCCGCGGUAAGACGAACCGUGCGAACGUUGUUCGGAAUCACUGGGCUUAAAGGGCGCGUAGGCGGGUUUGCAAGUCUGCGGUGAAAUCCUCCAGCUUAACUGGAGAAGUGCCGUGGAUACUGCGGAUCUCGAGGAGGGUAGGGGCAUCUGGAACGUUGGGUGGAGCGGUGAAAUGCGUUGAUAUCCAACGGAACUCCGGUGGCGAAGGCGAGGUGCUGGACCUUCUGACGCUGAGGCGCGAAAGCCAGGGGAGCAAACGGGAUUAGAUACCCUUGUAGUC
rnacentral:rRNA from 1 species